rnacentral:rRNA from 1 species
UGCCUAACACAUGCAAGUCGAACGAAGCAAUUAAGAUGAAGUUUUCGGAUGGAUUUUUGAUUGACUGAGUGGCGGACGGGUGAGUAACGCGUGGAUAACCUGCCUCACACUGGGGGAUAACAGUUAGAAAUGGCUGCUAAUACCGCAUAAGCGCACAGUACCGCAUGGUACGGUGUGAAAAACUCCGGUGGUGUGAGAUGGAUCCGCGUCUGAUUAGCCAGUUGGCGGGGUAACGGCCCACCAAAGCGACGAUCAGUAGCCGACCUGAGAGGGUGACCGGCCACAUUGGGACUGAGACACGGCCCAAACUCCUACGGGAGGCAGCAGUGGGGAAUAUUGCACAAUGGGCGAAAGCCUGAUGCAGCGACGCCGCGUGAGUGAAGAAGUAUUUCGGUAUGUAAAGCUCUAUCAGCAGGGAAGAAACUGACGGUACCUGACUAAGAAGCCCCGGCUAACUACGUGCCAGCAGCCGCGGUAAUACGUAGGGGGCAAGCGUUAUCCGGAUUUACUGGGUGUAAAGGGAGCGUAGACGGCGAAGCAAGUCUGAAGUGAAAACCCAGGGCUCAACCCUGGGACUGCUUUGGAAACUGUUUUGCUAGAGUGCAGGAGAGGUAAGUGGAAUUCCUAGUGUAGCGGUGAAAUGCGUAGAUAUUAGGAGGAACACCAGUGGCGAAGGCGGCUUACUGGACUGUAACUGACGUUGAGGCUCGAAAGCGUGGGGAGCAA